AAGCACUCAAUAAAUGGUAUCUAUUAACUAGUUUUAGAUAGAUACUAAAUAAGACCUCAACUCAAAUGCACCCUCCUCUCUGAAGAUUUUCCUGAGCACACAACCAAGAAGUAACUGCUCUCUGAGCUGCCGUAACACACUGCCUGUAUUUCUUUUCAGCAUGAAAUUGUCAUGCUGCCAUGUGUUAAAAUUAGUACCUUACAUGAGACACCCAUAUGAACCUGUGUACUCCUUGAGGACAGAGACUGCUUGUUGCAGCCGUGAGUUCCUCACUGUUGGGGGGGGGGGUGGUGAGGUACACAGUGGAGGUUCAAAAGCUGUUGUUGAACUGAACUGAAAUGAAGAAUUAAAACGGAAAACUCCUUCUGCCAAACACAGUAACUAGGAAGAGAGGUGCUAUGUCCCCCAAAUGACAACUCAAACAGCAAGAAGCAAAUCAUGUUUAACUGUCACCCUGACAGGGGUGGUUGGGACAUUGGUUAAGGGUGAGAAGUCAUCGAAUCACACAAGUAAAAAUUCUGUCUUACUAGAAAAAACAUUGAGAAAAAUAUUUAUGUGUUGGAAUGAAAGGACUUCAUCAACUCUUAGAGUUAGUGAUAAUUAAACACGUUGUUUGGAGAGUGAGAUGGAUGAAUUGGGCAAUUUUUCCCAGGUUUGCCAGAAAAGAGAAUCAAGGGCACGCAACUGCUGACAGAGUUUAACCUUUAAAUCGAACUUUAUUUACUCUCACUUAGCUAAAGACAAAGCAGUUUACACACUGUAUAUGUAGAAUACAUGUUAAUUGGUGGAUCGCUGACAACAAGUACUUACAGACUUUGCAGUUUGUAGUUACGUGUGCGGACAAGCAUCCCACGGACAGACCCGGAGAGGGGUGGAGAUGAGGUGAGGGCAGAAGAGCAUGGAAACUCAACCUCUGCAGGUUUCCACUCACACCACUUCCUUCUGAUCUGUGAAAUUCUAUCUUCUCCGUUAUCGUCCAAGAGACUGUUGCGCAAACGCCCCGCACCUGAAAGCCGUGUUGGACGAGAACUGUGGUAGAGGUUUCAGAUCUCAGGGCUAGAUAUGGCAGCACUCCUCCACGAAACAAAAGGAGACAGCAUCUCCCCAACUCCAGGGCUUCAUUAAAGGAGACCAAACACUUGCCACAGGCACCAAACUCGUGAGCAGGAUGCAGUACGGGAGAAAGGGAGUGUUUAUUCGUGCACAUACGCAGCCUCUGUCCUAAAUCAGGGCCAACUGGGUGAUGGUAAACCCGAGUAUAAAUUUAGUGUCUAUCGUUGGCCUGAAAGGUCCAGAGGAUACUGGUGUUGGUGGGGAUGGUUCUAAUUCCUAUGUUCCUGGAAGUCUAUCGACUUUUGGCCAUGCCUGGGAUCUGCCUUACACUCAUGGAGAAUGUCAGGCAAGUUGCUUAACCGUUCAGGUUUGGGAGGCGGUGGGCAGUUUCUCGACUGGUGAAAUGAGGUGGACGAUGUAGCUUAUCUCCAAGACGGUGAUUCUUAACAUGCUGAAGAUUAAGACAACUUUGAGAAUCUGAUGAAAACUGUACACCUUCUUUCUAGAAGAAAGCACAUACGUUAGACUU
rnacentral:lncRNA from 1 species